GACGUACGCUGGCGGCGUGCUUAACACAUGCAAGUCGAACGGAAAGGCCCUGCUUUUGUGGGGUGCUCGAGUGGCGAACGGGUGAGUAACACGUGAGUAACCUGCCCUUGACUUUGGGAUAACUUCAGGAAACUGGGGCUAAUACCGGAUAGGAGCUCCUGCUGCAUGGUGGGGGUUGGAAAGUUUCGGCGGUUGGGGAUGGACUCGCGGCUUAUCAGCUUGUUGGUGGGGUAGUGGCUUACCAAGGCUUUGACGGGUAGCCGGCCUGAGAGGGUGACCGGCCACAUUGGGACUGAGACACGGCCCAGACUCCUACGGGAGGCAGCAGUGGGGAAUAUUGCACAAUGGGCGGAAGCCUGAUGCAGCAACGCCGCGUGCGGGAUGACGGCCUUCGGGUUGUAAACCGCUUUCGCCUGUGACGAAGCGUGAGUGACGGUAAUGGGUAAAGAAGCACCGGCUAACUACGUG
rnacentral:rRNA from 1 species